AGAUUGAACAUAAGAGUUUGAUCCUGGCUCAGAUUGAACGCUGGCGGCAUGCUUUACACAUGCAAGUCGGACGGCAGCACAGGGAAGCUUGCUUCUCGGGUGGCGAGUGGCGAACGGGUGAGUAACAUAUCGGAACGUACCGGGUAGCGGGGGAUAACUGAUCGAAAGAUCAGCUAAUACCGCAUACGUCUUGAGAGGGAAAGCAGGGGACCUUCGGGCCUUGCGCUAUCCGAGCGGCCGAUAUCUGAUUAGCUGGUUGGCGGGGUAAAGGCCCACCAAGGCGACGAUCAGUAGCGGGUCUGAGAGGAUGAUCCGCCACACUGGGACUGAGACACGGCCCAGACUCCUACGGGAGGCAGCAGUGGGGAAUUUUGGACAAUGGGCGCAAGCCUGAUCCAGCCAUGCCGCGUGUCUGAAGAAGGCCUUCGGGUUGUAAAGGACUUUUGUCAGGGAAGAAAAGGCCGUUGCCAAUAUCGGCGGCCGAUGACG
rnacentral:rRNA from 1 species